AUUGAACGCUGGCGGCAGGCCUAACACAUGCAAGUCGAACGGAGUGGCGGACGGGUGAGUAAUGUAUGGGAAUCUGGCUUAUGGAGGGGGAUAACUACGGGAAACUGUAGCUAAUACCGCGUACCAUAGGAUGAGCCCAUGUGGGAUUAGGUAGUUGGUGAGGUAAAGGCUCACCAAGCCGACGAUCCCUAGCUGGUCUGAGAGGAUGACCAGCCACACUGGGACUGAGACACGGCCCAGACUCCUACGGGAGGCAGCAGUGGGGAAUAUUGGACAAUGGGCGAAAGCCUGAUCCAGCCAUGCCGCGUGUGUGAAGAAGGUCUUCGGAUUGUAAAGCACGUUAAGUUGGGAGGCGUUACCAACAGAAUAAGCACCGGCUAACUUCGUGCCAGCAGCCGCGGUAAUUC
rnacentral:rRNA from 1 species